rnacentral:tRNA from 1 species
GCCUGGAUGGCUCAGUUGAUUGAGCAUCUGACUUCAGCUCAGGUCAUGAUCUGUGGUUUGUGAGUUCAAGCCCCGCACUGGGCU